GAUGAACGCUGGCGGCGUGCCUAAUACAUGCAAGUCGAGCGAACGGACGAGAAGCUUGCUUCUCUGAUGUUAGCGGCGGACGGGUGAGUAACACGUGGAUAACCUACCUAUAAGACUGGGAUAACUUCGGGAAACCGUAGCUAAUACCGGAUAAUAUUUUGAACCGCAUGGUUCAAAAGUGAAAGACGGUCUUGCUGUCACUUAUAGAUGGAUCCGCGCUGCAUUAGCUAGUUGGUAAGGUAACGGCUUACCAAGGCAACGAUGCAUAGCCGACCUGAGAGGGUGAUCGGCCACACUGGAACUUAGACACGGUCCAGACUCCUACGGGAGGCAGCAGUAGGGAAUCGUCCGCAAUGGGCGAAAGCCUGACGGAGCAACGCCGCGUGAGUGAUGAAGGUCUUCGGAUCGUAAAACUCUGUUAUUAGUGAAGAACAUAUGUGUAAGUAACUGUGCACAGCUUGACGGUACCUAAUCAGAAAGCCACGGCUAACUACGUG
rnacentral:rRNA from 1 species